rnacentral:rRNA from 1 species
AUACGUAGGGUGCAAGCGUUGUCCGGAAUUAUUGGGCGUAAAGAGCUCGUAGGCGGUUUGUCGCGUCUGCUGUGAAAACCUGAGGCUCAACCUUGGGCUUGCAGUGGGUACGGGCAGGCUAGAGUGCGGUAGGGGAGAUUGGAAUUCCUGGUGUAGCGGUGGAAUGCGCAGAUAUCAGGAGGAACACCGAUGGCGAAGGCAGAUCUCUGGGCCGCUACUGACGCUGAGGAGCGAAAGCAUGGGGAGCGAACAGGAUUAGAUACCCUGGUAGUCCAUGCCGUAAACGUUGGGCGCUAGAUGUGGGGACCAUUCCACGGUUUCUGUGUCGUAGCUAACGCAUUAAGCGCCCCGCCUGGGGAGUACGGCCGCAAGGCUAAA